rnacentral:rRNA from 1 species
UAGGGAAUAUUGGGCAAUGGACGAGAGUCUGACCCAGCCAUGCCGCGUGCAGGAAGAAGGCGUUCUGCGUUGUAAACUGCUUUUAUCUGGGAAGAAAAGGCCCAUGCGUGGGACAUUGCCGGUACCAGAUGAAUAAGCACCGGCUAACUCCGUGCCAGCAGCCGCGGUAAUACGGAGGGUGCAAGCGUUGUCCGGAUUUAUUGGGUUUAAAGGGUGCGUAGGCGGUUGAUUAAGUCAGUGGUGAAAGUUUUGGGCUCAACCCAGAAAUUGCCAUUGAUACUGGUCGACUUGAGUAUUGCAGGGGUACAUGGAAUUGAUGGUGUAGCGGUGAAAUGCAUAGAUACCAUCAGGAACACCGAUAGCGAAGGCAUUGUACUGGGCAACCACUGACGCUGAUGCACGAAAGCAUGGGGGAGCGAACAGGAUUAGAUACCCUGGUAGUCCAUGCCGUAAACGAUGAUUACUCGCUGUU